AGAGUUUGAUCCUGGCUCAGGAUGAACGCUGGCGGUCUGCUUAACACAUGCAAGUCGAACGAGUACUUCGGUACUAGUGGCGGACGGGUGAGUAACACGUGAGAAUCUGCCCUCAAGACGGGGACAACAGCGGGAAACUGCUGCUAAUCCCCGAUAAGCCUACGGGUGAAAAGAAAUUCGCUUGAGGAGGAGCUCGCGUCCGAUUAGCUAGUUGGUGGGGUAAAAGCUUACCAAGGCGACGAUCGGUAGCCGGUCUGAGAGGACGAUCGGCCACACUGGGACUGAGACACGGCCCAGACUCCUACGGGAGGCAGCAGUGGGGAAUUUUCCGCAAUGGGCGAAAGCCUGACGGAGCAAGACCGCGUGCGGGAGGAAGGCCUUUGGGUCGUAAACCGCUUUUCUCAGGGAAGAAGACCUGACGGUACCUGAGGAAUAAGCCUCGGCUAACUCCGUGCCAGCAGCCGCGGUAAUACGGAGGAGGCAAGCGUUAUCCGGAAUUAUUGGGCGUAAAGCGUCCGCAGGUGGCUGUUCAAGUCUGCUGUCAAAGCCCGAAGCUCAACUUCGGAGAGGCAGUGGAAACUGGGCGGCUAGAGAUCGGUAGGGGUAGAGGGAAUUCCCAGUGUAGCGGUGAAAUGCGUAGAGAUUGGGAAGAACACCGGUGGCGAAAGCGCUCUACUGGGCCGAAUCUGACACUCAGGGACGAAAGCUAGGGUAGCGAAUGGGAUUAGAUACCCCAGUAGUCCUAGCUGUAAACGAUGGAAACUAGGCGUGGCUUGUAUCGACCCGAGCCGUGCCGAAGCUAACGCGUUAAGUUUCCCGCCUGGGGAGUACGCACGCAAGUGUGAAACUCAAAGGAAUUGACGGGGGCCCGCACAAGCGGUGGAGUAUGUGGUUUAAUUCGAUGCAACGCGAAGAACCUUACCAGGGCUUGACAUGUCGCGAAUCCUGCCGAAAGGUGGGAGUGCCUUCGGGAGCGCGAACACAGGUGGUGCAUGGCUGUCGUCAGCUCGUGUCGUGAGAUGUUGGGUUAAGUCCCGCAACGAGCGCAACCCUCGUUCUUAGUUGCCAUCAUUAAGUUGGGCACUCUAGGGAGACUGCCGGUGACAAACCGGAGGAAGGUGGGGAUGACGUCAAGUCAGCAUGCCCCUUACGUCCUGGGCGACACACGUACUACAAUGGUCGAGACAAAGGGCAGCAACUCCGCAAGGACAAGCGAAUCUCAUCAAACUCGGCCUCAGUUCAGAUUGCCGGCUGCAACUCGCCGGCAUGAAGGAGGAAUCGCUAGUAAUCGCAGGUCAGCAUACUGCGGUGAAUCCGUUCCCGGGCCUUGUACACACCGCCCGUCACACCAUGGAAGCUGGCCACGCCCGAAGUCGUUACCCUAACCGUUCGCGGAGGGGGACGCCGAAGGCAGGGCUGGUGACUGGGGUGAAGUCGUAACAAGGUAGCCGUACCGGAAGGUGUGGCUGGAUCACCUCCUUUUAAGGGAGACCUAACCCAUUCGACUCCGAAAAAAAGUCAAUAGGAGAGGAUGAGGUCAUCCUAGGUCGGGAUGAGGGGCAAACCCAGCUUUCAAACUAGAGUUCAGGUCAGGGAAAGGCCGGAAGGGGCUAUUAGCUCAGGUGGUUAGAGCGCACCCCUGAUAAGGGUGAGGUCCCUGGUUCAAGUCCAGGAUGGCCCAUAAGCCCAGCCUAAAACCUGAAAAAGAAACUUAGAAUCUAGCACCGUUGUCGAAAAGAAACAGCGACUGCUGGACUGUAAGUUCAGCUCAGAACCUUGAAAACUGCAUAGAAGAGAAACCAAAAGAAGUGAGAACUUCAAAACCCUAAUUGAAAAAGAAGGGGAGAAAGAAGACUCACAACAAUCCUAA
rnacentral:rRNA from 1 species